rnacentral:rRNA from 1 species
GGAUGGGGGGUCUNGCCUGCCCGGUGAAUAGUGGUGUUAAACGGCCGCAGUAUUCUGACUGUGCAAAGGUAGCGUAAUAAUUNGCCUAUUGAUUGUAGGCCAGUAUGAAUGGCCUGACGAGGGCUGCACUGUCUUUUCGUGAUAUAUUUAGAAGUUACUUUUUAGGUGAAGAGUCCUAAAUGUUGCUAAGGGACGAUAAGACCCUGUCGAGCUUUAGUGGAAUUUUUGAUGCGGCCGGUCAAAGUUGAAGGCGGCCUUUUAUUGCUGGAAUGAAUCUUUGGCUGGGGUGGCCGAGGAGUAGAAGGAACCUUUUGUCUUGGUGUGUUUGCUUUUUGGCAUAGGAUCUAGUUUGUUACGGAAUAUAAAAAAAAGUUACCGCAGGGGUAACAGCGCAAUUCUUUUGGAGAGUUCUUAUUGAGAAAAGAGUUUGCGACCUCCAUGUUGGAUUAGGAUAUCCUGAGGGUGCAGAAAUUCUUAAGGGUUAGUCUGUUCGACUAUUAAAAUCCUACAUGAUCUGAGUUCA